rnacentral:rRNA from 1 species
ACGGCUCAGUAACACGUGGACAACCUACCCUCAGCACGGGGAUAAACCCGGGAAACUGGGUAUAAUACCCGAUAGUUCUGGGAUGCUGGAAUGCUUCCAGGACGAAAGCUCCGGCGACUGAGGAUGGGUCUGCGGCCUAUCAGGUAGUAGUGGGUGUAAUGUACCUACUAGCCUACGACGGGUACGGGUCGUGAGAGCGAGAGCCCAGAGAUGGAUUCUGAGACACGAAUCCAGGCCCUACGGGGUGCAGCAGGCGCGAAAACUUUACAAUGCUGGCAACAGCGAUAAGGGGACCUCGAGUGCCAGGAUACAAUCUUGGCUGUCGUGAUGCCUAAAAAGCAUUACAUAGCAAGGGCCGGGCAAGACCGGUGCCAGCCGCCGCGGUAACACCGGCGGCUCGAGUGGUAACCGCUAUUAUUGGGUCUAAGGGGUCUGUAGCCGGCCGGAUAAGUCUUUUGGGAAAUCCAGCUGCUCAACAGUUGGGCUUUCAGAAGAUACUGUUCGGCUCGAGGCCGGGAGAGGUGAGAGGUACUUCAGGGGUAGGGGUGAAAUCUUGUAAUCCUUGAAGGACCACCAGUGGCGAAGGCGUCUCACCAGAACGGUCCUGACGGCAAGGGACGAAAGCUAGGGGCACGAACCGGAUUAGAUACCCGGGUAGUCCUAGCCGUAAACGAUACUCGCUAGGUGUCAGCCACGGUGCGACCGUGGUUGGUGCCGUAGGGAAGCCGUGAAGCGAGCCACCUGGGAAGUACGGCCGCAAGGCUGAAACUUAAAGGAAUUGGCGGGGGAGCAC